UGAAAUGAAGGCCUUUCCCCACACAGGGCAAUCAGUACUUCUAUGAGCUUGGUUUGAACCAGAUCUCUUAACACAGUUUAAGCAAGUGCUCUGGGGGACCGCCACUAACGUUUGGUCGGGUUUCAGUGCUCUUGUAACACACCAGAGCAACCAAACAAGUGUAACGAGGAGGAGUAAAUAGGACAACGCCAAAGUGCUCUCCGGAGAAAGACGCUCACGUAAAUGGAGAGUUACUCACUCUUACUGCGAUCUUGAGAUUGCAGUCUCAAGGUCCUUCCUGAACCUCUACUGUCGUUUCAAGCAGUUCUCCAUGUGGAGAGUCAUGGAUCCAAUCUGAUUAAACAUCCAAAGGAAGAGCUGUACCAUCUGGGAUACAUGGCCUCUUUUGUCAACGUUGCAGAAAGAUCAUCUUGGCUGUACACCAGACAAUGAAUAUGAAGGAUGUGGAACAAGUUUGGCAAUGGUGGGACAUGUUCAGAAGCUACUGUAGUAAUUCAACCUCUUAUGGCUUUUGUCCAAAGAGGAGCUCCAGGAAGAGACCAGAAGGAAGAAGAGUAAAUUGGAGAAGCAUCUUCCUUCUCCUUUUGAGACUGUAAUUGGUAGCUUUCCUCUGGCAGAGAACACAGCUUCUCUUGUGGACCCGCUUCCCACUCUCUCUCCUUUUGGCAUUCAUUACCACUUCCUCCCUUCUCCCCUUUUGCCUAGAAGUGACCCAGGUGGCACAGAAUGUUACUGUUCCCUGUGAUUUCCCUAAACUCUGUCCACAUAUUUGUAAUUAGUCUCUUUAGUAAAUUCUCAUUGAAUUAUUCUAAUGCAGGAGUGUCAUCUGCUACCUUUUGGGUUACUAGCUAAGACACAUAGACUAAGAGGUGAGAGGGAAGACAUAUUAGAAUAACGGAGAAGAUACAUUUAAUUUAUAGCAAGUUUAUUUAGUAUAGGGUCCUAGCCCAUUUCUAUAUAGAAAGUUAAUAGUUAACUUGAAGGCAAACAAGUUAGAGGUAAACAUCAUUCAGUAUGAGGUCAUAAAAGUGUUUCAGAUGCACAGUUUUGUUAGAUUUGAACCAACCUCCACUCUACUCUAAAGCCAGAAGAGCAGGUGAGAGAUCCCUUCCCAGACCUCUCUGCUUGAAAUGAGAGGAAGGCAGCAAGCGGGUUGAAAGAGACUACGAAGACCCCCAUAAAAAAGACCCCCUGUUUAAACGUUGCUCUCCUCUAAGUGGGUCUAUGUGAGCCCGAGCUGUGGUGCAUUGGCUUACCUCUCUCUGCAAUCUUAGGGAGUGUGAGGAUCAAACAGAAGUUUCCAUGCAUUUGCAAGUUGUCCUGUGGCUUUCCUUUUAGCAAGGCAAGUUUGGGGAUAAAAACAAAGAAAAUGUUCUGAGGUUAUGAUUAUUUACUUAUUUGUUCAUUUACUUAUUCAUGUGUUUAUGCAUUUGCUUAGGCAUUGAGGAACCAAACAUAAAUGAAGUUGCAUGCAGCAGUGACGCCCAUCCCCUCAAAGAUAAAGAGGGUGAUAAGGAUUUGUAUAGGGGUGGACAAGUCCAUUGUUUUCCUUCAAUAGUUGCAGCCAAUUUGUUUAGCUUGAUGGACAGGUACAAGGUGUUAACUCCCUGUCAUAUUUCCCCUGGUAGACAAAGAGGAAGCUUGACAAGUUGAUGAAUGAAAAAGGAGAGUUCUUGUGGAUAGUUAAGCAAGAAGAGAAUGAAUAAGACUAAUCUCAUGCCUAAAAACCAGGGCUAGGUUCAGCACUUCUAUCAUCCUCUAAGCUAACUUGUGCAAGAAAAAUGUUGAGGUAAA